UCUUCCGUCAUGGGGGAGUAGUCUUUUGCAACAUACGUUGCCGGUACGCCAGUACCUGUUCGGUGUAGCAAAGCUGUCGUCAACAAACUUGCCCGAAGGGCAUGGCGGCAGCGGCCUCGCAUCUUUGAGGUU
rnacentral:sRNA from 2 species